GACGAACGCUGGCGGCGUGCUUAACACAUGCAAGUCGAACGGAAAGGCCCUGCUUUUGUGGGGUGCUCGAGUGGCGAACGGGUGAGUAACACGUGAGUAACCUGCCCUUGACUUUGGGAUAACUUCAGGAAACUGGGGCUAAUACCGGAUAGGAGCUCCUGCUGCAUGGUGGGGGUUGGAAAGUUUCGGCGGUUGGGAUGGGCUCGCGGCUUAUCAGCUUGUUGGUGGGGGAGUGGCUUACCAAGGCUUUGACGGGUAGCCGGCCUGAGAGGGUGACCGGCCACAUUGGGACUGAGAUACGGCCCAGACUCCUACGGGAGGCAGCAGUGGGGAAUAUUGCACAAUGGGCGGAAGCCUGAUGCAGCAACGCCGCGUGCGGGAUGACGGCCUUCGGGUUGUAAACCGCUUUCGCCUGUGACGAAGCGUGAGUGACGGUAAUGGGUAAAGAAGCACCGGCUAACUACGUG
rnacentral:rRNA from 1 species